CUGUGCAUUAAUUUAGGCCCUAACUCUGGUGGGCGGCUGGUGUAAAGCACACACGUGGUGUUGGGGCUCGGCGGCUUUUGGCGGAAAGAUUUAUCAUAACAACUCCUCAUGGCCAAAACAAAAGAGCAGGAGCAAAGCACUGAAUGAACUGACAGCCACUUCCAGUGCCAAAGGAAGAAGGCAGAACUUUUUCUUGGCAGCAACA